UACGUAGGGUGCGAGCGUUGUCCGGAAUUACUGGGCGUAAAGAGCUCGUAGGCGGUUUGUCGCGUCGUUCGUGAAAACUCACAGCUUAACUGUGAGCUUGCGGUCGAUACGGGCAGGCUAGAGUUCGGUAGGGGAGACUGGAAUUCCUGGUGUAGCGGUGAAAUGCGCAGAUAUCAGGAGGAACACCGGUGGCGAAGGCGGGUCUCUGGGCCGAUACUGACGCUGAGGAGCGAAAGCGUGGGGAGCGAACAGG
rnacentral:rRNA from 1 species